rnacentral:rRNA from 1 species
AACGAACGCUGGCGGCAUGCCUAACACAUGCAAGUCGAACGAGAUCUUCGGGUCUAGUGGCGCACGGGUGCGUAACGCGUGGGAAUCUGCCCUUUGGUUCGGAAUAACAGUUGGAAACGACUGCUAAUACCGGAUGAUGACGAAAGUCCAAAGAUUUAUCGCCAGAGGAUGAGCCCGCGUAGGAUUAGCUAGUUGGUGUGGUAAAGGCGCACCAAGGCGACGAUCCUUAGCUGGUCUGAGAGGAUGAUCAGCCACACUGGGACUGAGACACGGCCCAGACUCCUACGGGAGGCAGCAGUGGGGAAUAUUGGACAAUGGGCGCAAGCCUGAUCCAGCCAUGCCGCGUGAGUGAUGAAGGCCUUAGGGUUGUAAAGCUCUUUCGCGCGCGACGAUAAUGACGGUAGCGCGAGAAGAAGCCCCGGCUAACUUCGUGCCAGCCGCCGCGGUAA